CGCCGCGCGGGCGCGCACGCACUAUCCAGCCCCUCACCCUCUCCUCUACACACGGCAAACCCUAAUCCAGCCCCGUCGCCCAAAGCCCCAAACCCUAACCCAGCUGCGGCGGGCGACGGUCGAAUCUCCCAGCUUGCCGUGCAUCCGGUCGAUCUCCCACCUCUCGACACCUCGCUUGCGUCCACGGCGGCGCGAACAAGGCAUCGGCAGCGAAGCGAAGGCAAGGGUGCCCAUCGAGCGACGGUUGGAUCUCCCGGCUCGCCGCGCAUCCGGUCGACCUCCCACCUCUCGGCACCUCACGUCCACGGCGGCGCGAACAAGGCGGCGGCAGCUAAGCGAAGGCAAGGGCGCCCAUCGGGUGACGCUCGGAUCUCCCAUCUUGCCGCGCAUCUGGUCGAUCUCAUACCUCUCGACACCUCGCGUCCACGGCGGCGCGAACAGACGGUGGCAGCGAAGCGAGUGCAAGGGGGGCGGCGGCAGAGCUCUCAGUCGUUCCCACAUAUCUGACCUGAACCACCCUCCUUGGCUCUCCAGCAUUUCAUCUCAUCCGACUCAGUCCACGGCGUCGGGGAAUGGAUCAAGCCCAAGCCUUGUUCUUCUUGCAAUGGAUCGGCGCCCACCGGACCCAAAUCGGCGCCCACCGGACCCAAAUCGGCGCCCACCGGACCCAAUUGACUGAAUUUUUUGAUCUUUACUUUGGAGAUGCUGCUGUCAUAUGCAGCAACAUUGGUCGCAACUAUCUGAAGAGUGCCUACCGGUUUGUCAUUGAUACAUUCAAUCGAGGGUAUUGCUGGCAUGGAUCAUU